ACUCUCCAGGCUUGGUACUGCACAGAACAGACAUUGUGACAUAUAUCUAGGCAAAUUGCCUAGAAGUGAAUCCCCUCUCCUGCUUAAGUCCUUCCCACAGAGAGCGGUUUGAUAUGUCACUGAAACCAGCAUCCAGGUGGUAUUGCUCCAUAUGCCUGAGACCCUAACAAAAGCCUAAUUACAACUCAUAUGCCUGGAGCCAGGACAUGUGCAGGAUGGUGAUGUAACUUUCCUCUCUGGAAUGGGUCCUGCACAAAGGAAUGAUAGUAACAUAUUGCAAAGCCAGACACACAGCCAUGAUGGUCCAAGUUAUAUUGGGAUUCAGCCAAUAGAAGAUAUUUUGCCUGUCAUCCCUAAGCUUAGGACAAUAGGAACAUUGUGACAUUGCUGGACGUAGCAUCUAGGAAAUGUACUCUCCUCUCCUGCCUAGGCCCUGCCCACUAAAGGAAUUGUGACAUACCACUGAGUGCAAAACCUAGGGUCCUGCCCACAAGAAAGAUUGUGACAUCUCACUGGACAAGCACCCACCCAGACUCUGCCAAGAGAGGGGAUUAUUACAUAUUGCAGAGCCCAGCACCUAGGUGGAGUGACUCUCAUCUUUUUCUUCUACCCCGUAUAUAGCCAGCUUGGUGACCUACUAUUUGAGUCUAUACCCAGGCCCAGACCACAGAUGAAAUUGUGCAAUAUGUGGAACAAACACCUAAACAAUAUAUAACACCUUCCUUGGCUCUGUCUACAAAGGGCACUUUUAUAUAUCACUGGGACCAUCAACCAGGUGAUGUUAAUUAUCUUCCUGAAACCUGUCUACAAAGAGAGUUGUGUCGUAUACCUAGGCCCGUCAUGUAAGUGAUGUCAGUCCCUUCUACUGCCUUGGCCCUGCACUUACAGUGCAUUGUGACACAUAACAAGGUACUGCACACAGACGAUGUGAUUCUCCUUUUUGGGUUCUGCCAAAAGGAAGCAUUGUAAUAAAUCGCUUGGCUCAGUACCAAGGUGAUGUUUCUUUGCUUUUGCCUGGGCCCUGAUAACAGGGAGAUUGUGAUCUAUUGCUGGGCCCAACAAAAAUGUGAGGUCACUCUCCAGCCGUGGUACUUCACAUAAGCGCCAUUGUGACAUGUAUCUAGGCCAAUUGCCUAGGUGAAGUGAGUUUCCUCUCUUGCCAAAGUCCUGCCCACAGAGGGGGUUUUGAUAUGUCACUGAAAUCAGCAUUCAGGUGAUGUGACUCUUCUGCCAGGGUCCUGCGUACUAGGUGGAUUGUGACAUCUCACUGGACCCGCAACCAUGUAGGUCAUGUGACUUUCAUGCCUUCUCACUGGCCACAGGUGAUGUUGUGCCAUAUAACUGAGACCGUAUCAAAAGCCUAAUAACAAGACGUAUGUCUGGAGCCCCGAUAUGCACAGGAUGGUGAUAUAACCCUCUUCUCUGGAAUGGGCCCCACACAAAGGAAGGAUAGUGACAUAUUGCAAGCCCAGGCACACAGGCCCAGAGCACAGUUGAAAUUGUGACAUAUGUACACCAAGCAACCAAGCAAUGUAUAACACCUCAUUUGGCAAUGGAAUCGAGGGCACUUUUACAUAUCACUGAGACCAGCGCCCAGCUGAUGUGAAAUAUUGGCCUGAACCCUGCCUACAAAAGCAUUGUGGCUUUUAUCUAGCUCCAUUACAUAAGUGAUGUGACUUCCU
rnacentral:lncRNA from 1 species